rnacentral:rRNA from 1 species
UACGAAGGGGGCUAGCGUUGCUCGGAAUCACUGGGCGUAAAGCGCACGUAGGCGGAUUGCUAAGUCAGGGGUGAAAUCCUGGAGCUCAACUCCAGAACUGCCCUUGAUACUGGCGGUCUCGAGUCCGGGAGAGGUGAGUGGAACUGCGAGUGUAGAGGUGAAAUUCGUAGAUAUUCGCAAGAACACCAGUGGCGAAGGCGGACUCACUGGCCCGGGUACUGACGCUGAGGUGCG